UUCAGUUUGCAUUCAGAAAAACUUCAUUGAUGAUCAUUGGCCAUGGAUUCACCGACUCAGCUAUUGUCCAUUGUAAACCUGGUGGAUGAGAUUGCCAUGGCCGACCCCACCAGGAGAUUGGGAAUGUUAAUACCGGCCAACAUGGCUGAUGCCACAGCCAAUCUUCUCGGUUCCACCUCUUGUUAUAUAUAGAAAGUUCGAGUAGGACAGAUUUGGAAAGCACAUGGAUAAAAUUGAGAACUAUCUGAUUUUGUCGGUGCCCCACAUUCAGGUGAUGUUUACGCUUGAAUUCCAAUGUUUGCAUGUUAUUGUUAUGAAUAUUCUUUCUUUAGUCAAAUAAAUUCCUUCACUGUGCUUUGCUUCAAAAUUGAAAUCUAGUUAUAUGUGGGAAACUAGUGGCUCAAAUUAGAACUAACAAGAUAAGGUACAGAGACAGAGAGAAAGAAAUAGAGAGAAUUUUUCUGGCUCUCUAGCAAUUGAAAGGUUAGGAAAAUAUGUUGACAUUAUCAAGGAUGAUCAUUAUCCCUGAUCCAAAGAUCAAACCCCACCUUCAAUCAAAGAGAAAUGGCAAACACGGUGGAGCUCUAUGGGCAAAGAAGCCAGACUUGAAUAGCAGCUCUCAUGCUGAAGAACCCACCUUCAUUAGGCUUGGGGUCCCAAAUGUCUUCCUUGCAAGAGCUGCUAUUGCUGUCUUUUAGCCUUGGAUUUCUUGAUGCAGGGUACAGCGGAGAUUGGUCUCGGAUAGGAGCAAUUUCGAAAGAAACUGAGGAUCUGUUGAAAUUUGCAGCUUAUUUGGUUGUGCCAUUGUGUCUUUUACUAAUAUUUUCAAUCUCCGACAAGGACAAGUAUUCUCAAUGAACUCCCUACUGUUUUAUUGGUCA